rnacentral:rRNA from 1 species
AUUGAACGCUGGCGGCAGGCCUAACACAUGCAAGUCGAACGAGUGGCGGACGGGUGAGUAAUGUCUGGGAAACUGCCUGAUGGAGGGGGAUAACUACUGGAAACGGUAGCUAAUACCGCAUACCAUCGGAUGUGCCCAGAUGGGAUUAGCUAGUAGGUGGGGUAAAGGCUCACCUAGGCGACGAUCCCUAGCUGGUCUGAGAGGAUGACCAGCCACACUGGAACUGGGACACGGUCCCGACUCCUACGGGAGGCAGCAGUGGGGAAUAUUGGACACUAGGCACAAGCCUGAAGCAGCCAUGCCGCUUGUAUGAAGCAGGACUUCGGUUUGUAAAGUACUUUCAUCGGGGAGACGUUACCCGCAGAAGAAGCACCGGCUAACUCCGUGCCAGCCGCCGCAGUAAUUC